ACGCUGGCGGCACGCCUAACACAUGCAAGUCGAACGCAGUAGCAAUACUGAGUGGCAAACGGGUGAGUAUAAUGUGGGAAUCUGCCUUUUGGUUUGGAAUAACACGGGGAAACUUGUGCUAAUACCGAAUAAGCCUUUACGGGGAAAGUUUUAACGCCGAAAGAUGAGCCUGCACUUGAUUAGCUAGUUGGUAAGGUAAAAGCUUACCAAGGCAACGAUCAAUAGCUGUUCUUAGAGGAAGACCAGCCACAUUGGGACUGAGACACGGCCCAGACUCCUACGGGAGGCAGCAGUGGGGAAUCUUGCACAAUGGGGGAAACCCUGAUGCAGCGAUGCCGCGUGAGUGAAGAAGGCCUUUGGGUUGUAAAACUCUUUCGUCGGGGAAGAAAAUGACUGUACCCGAAUAAGAAGGUCCGGCUAACUUCGUGCCAGCAGCCGCGGUAAUACGAAGGGACCUAGCGUAGUUCGGAAUUACUGGGCUUAAAGAGCUCGUAGGUGGUUAAAAAAGUUGAUGGUGAAAUCCCAAGGCUCAACCUUGGAACUGCCAUCAAAACUUUUUAGCUAGAGUGUGAUAGAGGUAAGUGGAAUUUCUAGUGUAGAGGUGAAAUUCGUAGAUAUUAGAAAGAACACCAAAUGCGAAGGCAACUUACUGGGUCACUACUGACACUGAGGAGCGAAAGCAUGGGUAGCGAAGAGGAUUAGAUACCCUCGUAGUCCAUGCCGUAAACGAUGUGUGCUAGACGUUGGAAAUAUAUUUUUCAGUGUCGCAGCGAAAGCAUUAAGCACACCGCCUGGGGAGUACGACCGC
rnacentral:rRNA from 1 species